GACCCCAGGUCAGGGUGGAUCACCCGC
rnacentral:rRNA from 1 species